GGAAGAGCAAUGAUCAGAAGAAUAACAUGAGAGGCACGGUGAAGUUGGAGCCAAAUGGCAGUGGCCAUUUCUUGACCAAACCAAGCAUCAGCAGUCAGCCGAGCUCUGCGUCCGCCAUUAUUCCCUUUCACUCCCAGCACUCAAUUCUGACCCUUCAAAUAAUUCGACCUCCACACCCUUCUCUGGACUCGGGUCCACCAUUCUCUCUCUUUCUCUCUCUUAAACAUAUGGGAGAGAAGUCUUCAUUCUUUGAAGAACGUGGUAACUGGAUCAACAUCUUCUGCUCCCUUUCUCCACUGUCCCUAUAAAGUAACAAAUCUUCUGGAAAAAGAAAAACAAAGGGUUCUAAACCAAAGGAAUGUCGGUUUCAAUUUCACCCCUUCCCACUUAAGUAAAGGACUCGAAUUUCGUUUCUUCAGUGUAGAAUCUGAAUUUCGGUUCUGAGCCGGCGGCGAUAUGGGUGGCGUUACUUCUUCCAUGGCGGCCAAGUUCGCCUUCUUCCCGCCCAACCCACCUUCGUAUAAGCUCAUAACCGAUGAUCUUACUGGCCUUUUGCUUCUCAGCCCUUUCCCUCAUCGCGAAAAUGUUGAGGUUCUGAAACUAUCCACUCGCCGGAGCACCGAUAUCGUUGCAAUUUAUGUCCGGCAUCCUAUGGCGACUUCAACUCUGCUGUAUUCUCAUGGCAACGCCGCCGAUUUGGGUCAAAUGUAUGAGCUCUUCAUCGAGCUUAGCAUUCACCUACGUGUUAAUCUAAUGGGGUACGAUUAUUCGGGUUAUGGUCAAUCAUCUGGAAAGCCAUCUGAGCAAAAUACAUAUGCAGAUAUUGAGGCUGCAUAUAAGUGUCUUGAAGAAAGCUAUGGUACCAAGCAGGAGGAUAUCAUCCUAUAUGGUCAAUCCGUUGGGAGUGGUCCAACUUUGGAUCUUGCAGCUCGACUUCCUCGGCUAAGAGCUGUUGUUUUACAUAGUCCUAUACUUUCUGGGUUAAGAGUCAUGUAUCCUGUAAAGCGCUCUUACUGGUUUGAUAUUUAUAAGAACAUCGAUAAAAUUUCUCAGGUCCAUUGCCCUAUUCUCAUCAUUCAUGGAACUUCAGAUGAUGUGGUUGAUUGCUCACAUGGCAAGCAACUUUGGGAACUCUGUAAAGAGAAAUACGAACCACUGUGGCUAAAAGGCGGAAACCACUGUAAUUUGGAGCUCUAUCCUGAGUAUAUCAGACAUCUAAAGAAGUUCGUUGCAACAGUCGAGAAACCUCUCUCUCAAAGAUACAGUGCCAGAAAGAGUACAGACCAAUAUGAGCAGCCACGGAAGAGCACAGAUUUUUUUGAUAUUCCAAGGAAGAGCACGGACUGGAGAGAAAAACCCUGGCAGAGCACUGAUCAAUCAGAGAAACCGAAGAAUCACUCAAGUGCUACUGAUAAGUUAGAAAAGCUUAGACUCUCCUUUAACCAUGGGGAAAGGUCUCGCAGAAGUGUUGAUUGCCAUGAAAAGUCACGUAAAAGUGUCGACCACCAGUUGGAAAGAGCGAGAAAAAGCGUUGAUCGGCUUGAUAGAAUACGGACUGGGUAAUUUUUCCUAUAGAUAGAUUGCAAGAUUCAUGGAAUUGAGCGUGCAUUUGCAAGGAAAAGGUGACAAAGACAGGCUAGAUAGAUGCUCUGAAUUCAAAAUGCAGCGAUGAUUAUUACAGAGAAGCUAUAGUCAAAGGUUGAUGAUGAUGAGGGGUUUAUUUAAUCCCAAAAAUUGUUGGGAAACUGAAGACAUUUUGGCUUUUGGAACAUGGGAAGAAGAAAAAAAGAAAAAGGAAAGGAGCAUGCUUUGAUAUGAAGAAGACUUUGCAUUUGCAGGAAAUAGGCGCGAGGAUUUGACUUUUUGUCCAACUUUCAUUAUCUUUAUUCAAAGUCUUUCUUCAGCAGAAUCUUAUAUAAUGUCUAGUCUCCCAACACAUUACACAACAUUAUGCAAUGCUUUCAAAGCAUGUCCCUUUUUGGCUGUC